rnacentral:rRNA from 1 species
UGGCGACCAUAGCAUUGUGGACCCACCUGAUCCCAUGCCGAACUCAGAAGUGAAACGCAAUAGCGCCGAUGGUAGUGUGGGGUUUCCCCAUGUGAGAGUAGGACAUCGCCA